rnacentral:rRNA from 1 species
UACGUAGGUGGCAAGCGUUGUCCGGAUUUACUGGGCGUAAAGAGCGCGCAGGCGGUCGUUCAAGUCGCGUGUGAAAGCCCCCGGCUCAACUGGGGAGGGUCACGCGAUACUGAUCGACUCGAAGGCAGGAGAGGGAAGUGGAAUUCCCGGUGUAGUGGUGAAAUGCGUAGAUAUCGGGAGGAACACCAGUGGCGAAGGCGACUUCCUGGCCUGUUCUUGACGCUGAGGCGCGAAAGCUAGGGGAGCAAAC